UCACUUGCGGCUGUGGGCGCGCGGCUGGGAGGCCCACCGUCGAUACCUGAACUGAUGAGGGCGAAGGUGAGCCGGGGCGGCGGGCGGCUGUCUUGCAGAGGCGGAAGAAGCGGAUGCGGAGACAUGAGCACAAAAAGAAAAAGUACAAGAAAGGAAUCGUGGAAGACUCUUGGGGCCAAAAAUCUUACUGCUUUCCGCAAAGAGAUGUCGAGUAUCCGAUUGGUCAGAAAACGGUGAGCAGAGUAUGGUAACCUCAUUGAACAAGUGGACAAGGGAAAUGCUAAAAAGCGCAAGUGUGGAUCAGGUCGGCAACCAUUAUUUUCCGAGCUGGAAAACCUGAUCUGUGACAGGAGAGCAAAGGCUUUGGUUGUGAAUAGGGCACAGAUUCAAGAAUUUGCCCUUGCAAUGGCACCACAGUUUGACAUCGCCCCGGAAGACUUCAAAGCAUCACAACACUGGCUGGAUCAUUUCCUUCAGCGAAGUGAACUGUCUUUAAGAAGAUCCACGACUAUUACUGUACCGUAUACAGGCUAAAACGAAAACGGAGGAAGAUGAGGCAGAGGUCCAAGUGAAAUGUCAUCAAAUCGAGCCAACAGCCAGCUGCCGCCCUAGAAGUCUGAUGGCUUCACCUCUGAAAAGAUGCUUCUUUUCUGGAAAUCUCUUUACCUGAUGGGUUUAACAAAAAAUAAAGCUAUUACUGUAAAUGUC